rnacentral:rRNA from 1 species
UACGUAGGGUGCGAGCGUUGUCCGGAAUUAUUGGGCGUAAAGGGCUCGUAGGCGGUUUGUCACGUCGGGAGUGAAAAACUCGGGGGCUUAACCCCCGAGCCUGCUUCCGAUACGGGCAGACUAGAGGUAUGCAGGGGGAGAACGGAAUUCCUGGUGUAGCGGUGAAAAUGCGCAGAUAUCAGGAGGAACACCGGUGGCGAAGGCGGUUCUCUGGGCAUUACCUGACGCUGAGGAGCGAAAGUGUGGGGAGCGAACAGG